AUUGAUCUUACAAGAAGAGUCAAUUCGGUCAUCAAUAGGAUCAACUAGUGUAUCCACAUUCACAAUAUGUACAUCAUCAUCAAGGGGCAAAGAAUCAAUAGAUGAUGUAUUAUCAUUCAACACAAUGGCUUCAACACUAGGUGGACUUAAAUUGAUCUUACAAGAAGAGUCAAUUCGGUCAUCAAUAGGUUCAACUAGUGUAUCCACACUCA
rnacentral:lncRNA from 1 species